GUGGGGAAUAUUGCACAAUGGGCGAAAGCCUGAUGCAGCAACGCCGCGUGGGUGAUGAAGGUUUUCGGAUCGUAAAGCCCUGUCUUUUGGGACGAUAAUGACGGUACCAAAGGAGGAAGCCACGGCUAACUACGUGCCAGCAGCCGCGGUAAUACGUAGGUGGCAAGCGUUGUCCGGAUUUACUGGGCGUAAAGGGAGCGUAGGCGGACCUUUAAGUGAGAUGUGAAAUACCCGAGCUCAACUUGGGUGCUGCAUUUCAAACUGGAGGUCUAGAGUGUCGGAGAGGUAAGUGGAAUUCCUAGUGUAGCGGUGAAAUGCGUAGAGAUUAGGAAGAACCCCGGUGGCGAAGGCGACUUACUGGACGAUAACUGACGCUGAGGCUCGAAAGCGUGGGGAGCAAACAGGAUUAGAAACCCUAGUAGUCC
rnacentral:rRNA from 1 species